CAGCAGCCGCGGUAAUACGUAGGGUGCAAGCGUUAAUCGGAAUUACUGGGCGUAAAGCGUGCGCAGGCGGUUCGGAAAGAAAGAUGUGAAAUCCCAGAGCUUAACUUUGGAACUGCAUUUUUAACUACCGGGCUAGAGUGUGUCAGAGGGAGGUGGAAUUCCGCGUGUAGCAGUGAAAUGCGUAGAUAUGCGGAGGAACACCGAUGGCGAAGGCAGCCUCCUGAGAUAACACUGACGCUCAUGCACGAAAGCGUGGGGAGCAAACAGGAUUAGAUACCCUGGUAGUCCACGCCCUAAACGAUGUCAACUAGCUGUUGGGGCCUUCGGGCCUUGGUAGCGCAGCUAACGCGUGAAGUUGACCGCCUGGGGAGUACGGUCGCAAGAUUAAAACUUAAAGGAAUUGGCGGG
rnacentral:rRNA from 1 species